rnacentral:rRNA from 1 species
GAUGAACGCUGGCGGUAUGCUUAACACAUGCAAGUCGAACGGACUCUUCGGAGUUAGUGGCGGACGGGUGAGUAACGCGUGAGAAUCUGGCUUUGGGUUCGGGACAACCACUGGAAACGGUGGCUAAUACCGGAUGUGCCGAGAGGUAAAAGAGAAAUUGCCUGAAGAUGAGCUCGCGUCUGAUUAGCUAGUUGGUGAGGUAAAGGCUCACCAAGGCAGCGAUCAGUAGCUGGUCUGAGAGGAUGACCAGCCACACUGGGACUGAGACACGGCCCAGACUCCUCCGGGGGGCAGCAGUGGGGAAUUUUCCGCAAUGGGCGAGUGACUGACGGAGCACUACCGCGUGAGGGAAGAAGGCUCUUGGGUUGUACACCUCUUUUCUUAGCGAAGAACAAAAUGACGGUACCUAAGGAAUCAGCAUCGGCUAACUCCGUG